ACGGGGGGCAGCAGUGGGGAAUAUUGGACAAUGGGCGAAAGCCUGAUCCAGCCAUGCCGCGUGUGUGAAGAAGGCCUUCGGGUUGUAAAGCACUUUCAGCGAGGAAGAACGCCUUGGGACUAAUACUCUCGAGGAAAGACAUCACUCGCAGAAGAAGCACCGGCUAACUCCGUGCCAGCAGCCGCGGUAAUACGGAGGGUGCAAGCGUUAAUCGGAAUUACUGGGCGUAAAGCGCGCGUAGGUGGCUAAGUCAGCCAGGUGUGAAAGCCCCGGGCUCAACCUGGGAACGGCAUCUGGAACUGCUUGGCUAGAGUGCAGGAGAGGAAGGUAGAAUUCCCGGUGUAGCGGUGAAAUGCGUAGAGAUCGGGAGGAAUACCAGUGGCGAAGGCGGCCUUCUGGACUGACACUGACACUGAGGUGCGAAAGCGUGGGUAGCAAACAGGAUUAGAUACCCUGGUAGUCCACGCCGUAAACGAUGUCAACUAGCCGUUGGGUCCCUUGAGGACUUAGUGGCGCAGCUAACGCAAUAAGUGACCG
rnacentral:rRNA from 1 species